GGUAGAAGAAUCCUGGUAUUAAAUCAAUUCUGUGAGCAUGGCCAGUGCUGCUACAAAGAAAUCAUUCAAAAUUAUCUGAAAGAAGCCUGGUUUCACUCAAAGGCCGAGAGGACUCCAGAUACAUCACAAAUACAUCUACAUGUGGAACAGCUCCUACAGAACACCUAUUGAACGCUGGCAGAAGACCUCAGACCUCCCAAAAGG